AUUGAACGCUGGCGGCAUGCUUUACACAUGCAAGUCGAACGGCAGCGGGGACUUCGGUCCGCCGGCGAGUGGCGAACGGGUGAGUAAUGCAUCGGAACGUGCCUAUCAGUGGGGGAUAACGGCUUCGAAAGGAGUGCUAAUACCGCAUAUUCUCUGAGGAGGAAAGCAGGGGACCUUAGGGCCUUGCGCUGAUAGAGCGGCCGAUGUCGGAUUAGCUAGUUGGUGAGGUAAAGGCUCACCAAGGCGACGAUCCGUAGCGGGUCUGAGAGGAUGAUCCGCCACACUGGGACUGAGACACGGCCCAGACUCCUACGGGAGGCAGCAGUGGGGAAUUUUGGACAAUGGGCGAAAGCCUGAUCCAGCCAUGCCGCGUGAGUGAAGAAGGCCUUCGGGUUGUAAAGCUCUUUUGUCCGGGAGGAAAUCCUGGACCUCUAAUACAGGUCGGGGAUGACAGUACUGGAAGAAUAAGCACCGGCUAACUACGUG
rnacentral:rRNA from 1 species